CUCCAGACUCCUACGGGAGGCAGCAGUGGGGAAUAUUGCACAAUGGGGGGAACCCUGAUGCAGCGACGCCGCGUGGGUGAAGGAGUAUUUCGGUAUGUAAAGCCCUAUCAGCAGGGAAGAACAAUGACGGUACCUGACUAAGAAGCACCGGCUAAAUACGUGCCAGCAGCCGCGGUAAUACGUAUGGUGCAAGCGUUAUCCGGAUUUACUGGGUGUAAAGGGAGCGCAGGCGGCCUUGCAAGUCUGAUGUGAAAGGCCGGGGCCCAACCCCGGGACUGCAUUGGAAACUGCGAGGCUGGAGUGUCGGAGAGGCAGGCGGAAUUCCUAGUGUAGCGGUGAAAUGCGUAGAUAUCAGGAGGAACACCGGCGGCGAAGGCGGCCUGCUGGACCGUGACUGACGUUGAGGCUCGAGAGCGUGGGGAGCAAACAGGAUUAGAUACCCCCGUA
rnacentral:rRNA from 1 species